rnacentral:sRNA from 1 species
UGACAUUCGGUUAAAGAUAUUGUCGGAC